ACCCACGCGAACACGAGGAGAACAUGCAAACUCCACGCAGAGAGGAUCGGUCAGACCCGGAUUCGAACCCGCGACCACCCUCUUGCGAGAGAUAAAUCACCCCAGCAACACCCCAUGCAUCAAAGGAGAAAUUAAUAUUAUAACCAGCUAUCUUGCUCAUAUCUGACCCGGUAUUAAUUGUAUUUUUGUUGUUGUUGUUGUUGUUGUUGUUCUUUCCUCCCCAUUUUCAUUUUUUUUCAUUGGUUUGGGCCAAAAUCUUUACAAAUUAAUUCAACAAUGAAAUUGCUUUCACUACUUGCAUUGUGCGCUGGUAUUGGUUUAGCCACUUGAAUUAUGCAAUGUGAUUGGCUUUGCUACUCACUCGGCUGCUUGUGCUGUCCAGUGCAGCUGGUUUUGUGACUUGCUGAGCUAGCCACAAAGCUAAAUGUGGAGCUAAUGACAGAGUUAAAGCUUGUGAUAAGAGCUAUUUAUUAUCGCAGCUCACAAGCAAAUUUUCAAGCUUACUGAGUACUUGAACUGUGAGGGUAGCCAAAAAUAAUAAAAUAAAUAGAUAAUACACAAAAUUUAAUAAAAUCUGUUGAUAGUCCUAUGCAUUACAUCAUCUUUGUAAUUGACAUGUUUAUCAUCUUCAUCAUCACCAGUUAUCACAUUUGAAAGUAAA